GGCAAUUCAAAAAAGAAUCUAUUUUGCGUUUUUUCUCUCUUCAGAAUUAAACUAGAAAAGGUAAAAAAAAAAGGGCUACAACCUUUUGCAAUCCAUCAUCUGUUUCGCUGCUUUAAAAUAUAUAUUUUUGGUGAAUAAUCACGUGCUAGCCAUUAAAGAAAAAAAAACCUGCGAGGAAUGUCGCCCGUUGGAUUUAUUAUAAUAUGCCUAGGCUUCCUUUGUGCUUGACAACUGAAUAGGAUCACUUUGUUAUAUAUUAAUGUACACCGGAGAGGGAUAAAACGCUCAUCUCACGGAAAAUAGAAAAUUGCCGUUUCAUACCAAUAGAGUCGGAAAUUUACGAGUCAAGCUCACGCGGUUAAUGGCCAUCGUGUGCAGCUUUUUUUUUCUGAAAUGCGAGCCAUUAUAAUAAGUGCCUUUCUCUCUCCACUCUUCUUGAAAUUCCUUCCAUCUUUUCAUGAUAUUUUUUUUUUCAGGGUUGGAUAAUUUCCUGGCGAAGAUGAUCGAUCCGUAACAUUUCGAUACUUUCACGAUGGAAAUCACACGUCGUGCCGAAUUCGUGUUUCAACAUUUCAUCUUUUUAGAGGACACUUUUCUAAAUAAGAAACUAUUUGAAAUGACAAGCUGAUUAUCAGAGUGCGUGCUAUGGCUUCCUUCCAAACGAUAUCAAAAUAGUUUGUUUUGACGAUUGAAAAAAAAGAAACAUUCGAAGAAAAUAAAUCUUUUUGGCGAAUUAUUUUUAUACUUUUCUGACGUGAAGAGUGAAAGUACAGCUCAGCUCAUGGCUGCUGCUGGUACAACAUAUCCGGAAUGUGUGCAAUAUAAUAUUACGCAGCUGUCCUUAGUCAGAGCACUGGUACAUAUACCGUGCUGCAAACUGUUGCAACCGGGUCAAAAUUUGGCUACAAAGAUUGAGGUUUUCCUUGGAAUCGCUUCUCGGUUCGACUCAAAAAUGUUUUUAUUGGCACUCGUUAUUGGAUGUAUUCAUACUAUUAUUUUCUGCAUUGGAAAUCCUGCCGGAGCCUCAAGACUAAUUGGGUUUGUAAUUACCAUAAAAGGAUGACAUGAGCGUUCCAGCCAUACACACCCAAUUUCGUUUAGGAAGAAUAUAAGGGAGGUGUACCAUAACCACAAUUUGUGGUCCGUCUCAUCACGACCAAACAGGGCAGCCAUUUAAAAAAAAGCGAAAUUUAUUUUUCUACCUUCUCAUCUGGAUGGGAAAAAAAUAUUAAAAAAGAGAAAAAUUUCAAACUUUUCCUCCCCUUCACCCGGACUUGUGUAUAAGAGAGCAUGUGACGGAUGGCUAUCGGAAUCAUGUCUGGCGCCACCACGUUUACCUUUUAGAAGAAAAGAAAAGUGACGAUUCACCAGCAUAUUGGACGGACAUGGCGCGACGAUGAGUCGAUCGAGUCUCCGGGUGAACUCAUCGGCAUGAACAGCAAAGAUUGACUUUCACCUUCUAUGCUCUUCUUGUCUGAUUAUAACAAUGGCCUGAACCAAUAUAUCAAUUCCAUUACAAAAUUUUGUACCCAGACAAUAAGGUCUCUGACUUUUCAUCGUUGGGGCGGAUCAGCAGCUUCCGUCACGGAUAAGACCAGGUGAUUCAUGGUUUCAAAAGAAAUAUAUUUACCAACUAUUGUCACCCACGUCAAUAAGCCCAACAUUUAUAAAGGAUAUUAAUUGUCACUCUGAUUCAUUUUUCUUGAAAUUCCGGAAUGAUGGUUGGUCUCAUCCUCUUGUUGUGUAUGGGUUCUCCCUCCCACCUAAACUUUUCCUGGAUUAUUAAGAAGAAGAAGAAAUAAAUAAAACCACCAACUGGGUAAGUAGAGGAGAGAGAGAACAGCACAGAUGGAGACAAGAGAAAGAGACGGCCCGGACCCUGACCUCAAUUCCGCGCUCCGUCGACCCCCACACCCGCCUUAUAAUAUCUCUCUUUUCUUCUUCUUCUUCUUCUGCUUUUGGGUUCUCUUUCUUUUGCUCGCUUUUUUAGUAGGAGGGGGUAAUCUUUUUUAAGUUGGGAAUCUAUUUCAUGAUUAAUUAUCCGUCAGCUGCAGAAAAAAUUUUAAAAAAAAUCCUCUGAUCAAUUGAAUUUUUUUUUA
rnacentral:lncRNA from 1 species